UGUUCUGUGGCUUAGUUGGUUAAAGCGCCGGUCUAGCGAAUACGAAGUUGUGGAUUCAAAUCCCACCAGAACGC
rnacentral:tRNA from 1 species